UACGUAGGGGGUAAGCGUUGUCCGGAUUUAUUGGGCGUAAAGAGCGUGUAGGCGGCCAGACAGGUCCGUUGUGAAAACUCGAGGCUCAACCUCGAGAUGUCGAUGGAAACCGUCUGGCUAGAGUCCGGAAGAGGAGUGUGGAAUUCCUGGUGUAGCGGUGAAAUGCGCAGAUAUCAGGAAGAACACCGGUGGCGAAGGCGGUUCUCUGGGCAUUACCUGACGCUGAGGAGCGAAAGUGUGGGGAGCGAACAGG
rnacentral:rRNA from 1 species